rnacentral:sRNA from 1 species
ACCCAGUGUGCAAUACCUUGUUCUUCUAGGAUCCCGUUAGGCAUCUUCUUGUCGUUGCUGUUGACCACGGCUUUCCUCUGCUUCCUGAACCUUAGAGGCACAAGACGUGUUAGGUCUCAGCACAGCGGGAACCCCCAAGCCCUGAGUGUCGUGAUACCCACCAGGAGCUGGUUAGAGCACGUCAGUGCCUGGGGACACUCCUACCUGAAGAAGUAGGCUGCAAGGAGGAACAGGAGGAGGAGCAGAGGCAGCAGCAGCCAGGUCCACCUUCCUCAGAGAGACACAUAUUUCUGCCCUUGCACCUUGGCUUUGGUGACCUUGUGGUCAUCAACGGACCCAUUCUCUCAACCUCUUGGGGCGCUCUCUCAUCUCCACAAAGCUCCCACCCAAAGGACCCCAUCAAAAGCCUGCUACGACAGUUAACCAGCGUGGCUCCCGUCUCGACCUGGUCCGAGGAGCUAUGUCCUGCAUUUGGUGAGUCCAUGCUACAAGAGUGAGCAGGUCCCCAUGGGAGGCUCUGGAGGUCAGUAGCUAGAUUUCUAUCCUCCUGAGUUCCAGAAGUGUCAAACAUUGUUCCCAAGCCGAGCGUGUGUUUCAGAGUUCACGUCCUUCCUCCCAUGUGCCAACCUGGUUCAUCGAAACUCAGGACUCCAAGAAGGAGUUUGAAAUGUCAUUUUUUUCCCCCAGCCCUGUGCAUGUAAUCUAGAGGCUAUGCCCCACAGUACGUCACCUGUGGCUCUGACUCAGAGGAGCUGAUUCCCAUCAUGUUCAAGGUCAGGUAUAUAUAUUUUAGGCUUAAUGGCUAGGACUAUCUGUCCUUCCCUCAGGGGAGUACUCCAAACCUACCCACUGCCCAGCUGGGGCCCUUUAGGAGCAGCCUGGCCCAAGACUUCCAGGUCUGGCUCCAGGGAAUGGUAUACCCUAGACUAUGACCUGCAUCAAAUUUUAGCUUGGGUUGCUGAGAUCUGCCUAACACCAGCAGGCAGAGCUAAGCCAAUCCCAGGGAGUCUCACCGUUCAGGGUCCCCUGAUUCAACUCCAUCCAUUUUUGGUCAGAGACCACUAGAAAGUGUGGGCAGGCUCCUCCUUCUUUUCAGGAAAUGCUCACUGUCUUUUCUCGGUGUGUCACCGUGGUGAAACUACCUACUUCUGCAUUGCCCAGAGGUCAGCCCCUGGCUCAGGCUCUGUUCUGCAGAAGUAGCUGCUAAACUGGCUUGGCUACAAGGUCCACCCUGUCAUAGACAGAGCCCUACAUCGAUUGUCACACAGGCAGAAGGACGGCUCAGAAGGACUCAUUAUCCCUCCACUUGGUUUCUGUCACUUCUAACGUGCUUUGCCCAGGAAGGCAGAGGUCAGGGCCAGAACCUCUCAGACUUCCCAAGGGUAGCAAAACGCCCAAACCCAGGCUGGGUGGCGUGGGACACAGGGAACUGUGAGGCAUGCUCUGGCUACAGUGUCUGAGCAUGUAGGAGGAUGAAUCCAGACUACUUCUGCCUCAAAUACCGCAAAGGAAGAAACCCAUGCUUGAUGUAAAUGUUUCUGAAAUUGUGGAUGGACCUUGAUAAACAUUGUGGGCCAGGAAAUAAGUCCUGGUGCACACGGGGUAGUGUCCCCUUGGUCCCAGUGGUGUUCCACCCAGGGAGUCAUGAGGUCUCCCAGAGGAUAUCCUAUGGUCACAUUCUAUUUCCAGUUUAUGUUGACUCAGGGGUGGGGAUGGGAAAAAGGGCAAGAGUGGGGAGAUGCAGAUGGGUCUCUCUAGAUGGUUCAGCCUUUUCCCUAAAGUGUUGUUGGGUUUUCCAAUUGCACGUGAGCGAGUACAUGCGUGUUCACAUAGACUUUAGGCAUAGGUGUGCCUGCAUGUGAAUAUAUACACAUUUGCUUACACAGAAUCUUCCUGACACUAGAAAGGCAAUAGUUUGUGUGUGCAGUGGGGCCUGAUGCUGCUUUACUCUGGACACAGAUUUCCCUGGUGACUCCUUUGCUGUGUCAGAAGGACCCAGGCAGAAGAGCAUGGUCUAGCCUGAGUAAGCUCUUUCCAAACCUUAUGGAACUCUGCAGCAAAUCUGCCACAGAGAGUUCCCCUCCAAUGAGGGACAUUCUACACGUCUAGGGGGUCCUCAGUGGAGAGGCAGAGUUAAAGUAAAGGAGGAAGAGGAAGAGGAAAAGGAAAGACAGGAAGCACAGUGAGCAGCUGUGCUCUGGGAAGAGACAACAGUCCCUGGAGGACUGUGCUGGAGAACUCUCUGGGAUCUAGUCCAUAAAGCUUCUCUGGCCAGAGGCCUGUGAUUAGCAUUCCAAGGAGCCCAGUCAGAGCGAACACACACACACACACACACACACACACACACACACACACACACACACACACACACACACACGUAGGUUGACUGUUUUGUUUCCCUGGCAUGACGUUGUGAGUGUAUCUUCCCCUACAUUUUCUUCUAUGACGCUAAACUGGUGAACACAUAGGUUUGGUAAAUAAAUUAGACUCACGACUCCCUCCUGUCAUCCAAGAUUGCACGGCAGAAGGAAGUACAGUUAUUUUACAAAUUGAUAGGGAAGAGAGGAAAAAAAAACCAAACCAACAAUGAUAAAGAAUCACCCACUUGAUGACAUACCAACGUCAUCCAACAUUAGUGCUAUGCAUAAAGCAACCGGAUGAAACACACACCUCUCUCCUUGCUCCUGGAGAGUUACCAUGCGAGGUGAGCCUCUUCCUUCUGAGUCCUGGCUGCUUGCCACCAUAUGCUUUGGCCUGGCCCAGAUUAUGGGUAUUUGAAGCUAUUUUCCACUUCGCUGUUCCCUGUACUUCUACUUCUAGAUUUAAAAAGAAAUUAUAUUCCUAUUUACGCAUCUGCAAGUGGGUAUAUGUCUUUGUGUAUUCGGACCACAUGUGUGCAGGUGCUCAUGUAGGCCAGAGGAGGGUGUCUGAUCUCCCAGAGCUGAAGUUUCAGUCAGUUAUGAAGGGUCACGUGGAUGCUAGGAACCGGACUUGGGUCCUCUGGAAGAGCAAGUGCUCUUAGCCACUGAGCCCACUCUCCAGCUCCUAACUUGGGCACGUUGUCUCACCAGGGUUUCUGUGUGGCAUCUCCUGAAAGUGGACCUUUGUGCCUACUAUGCUCAUUACCAAACAAGAGUAGAACUAUCCAGAUGGCCUCCCAAAGCAUCUGACUUCUAAGUUCGCCUUACAAAGGGGUUUACAAGAGAGGGAGGCCCUUUCUCCUGGACGCUAAUGAUCCUUCCACUUUUAGUCAGUUCCUGUUCGAGCUUCUUCCCAGACUUCCCUUCAUGGUGGACCAUGACAGAGAUAUGUAAGCCAAGUGGACCCUUGCCUCGCUGGUGCUAGGUCAUAGUGUUUGUCACGGCUGUAGCAAAGCAAAUCAGAACAUCAUCCAUUUUCCUAAUGUGCUCUUUCACACGUUAAAAUUAAGGAUUCUUGGGGCUGGGGAUUUAGCUCAGUGGUAGAGCACUUACCUAGGAAGCACAAGGCCCUGGGUCCGGAAAAAAAAAAAAAAACCCCCCAAAAAAAUUAAGGAUUCUUCCUGUAUGUAUCGCGGAUAAUAACACCUCCUCGCAACUUUCUUUCUUUUUCUUUUUUUUUUACAUAUUUAUAAUGAAUUCUUUGUCUAAGAAAAUGUGUCAUGAUGAAUAUUGAAUUCAUUUUGGCCAGAGAUGAAAGGAAACCAUUUCCUGUUGUUCCGGCACGUUCUGGCAAUGUGCUAACCCUCAAGAGAUAUUUUGUGAUUUUUCAGGGGCCAGAUCUUUUACAGAGGACUUGGAGUGCCCUCCCAAGUUGCAGGACAAAGGAGCAGCCAUGUAACUGUAAGGCCUCUGUAGCUCCUGAUAGUGAGACCAGAGCUGUUGUUAGUAAGCUGAGGCCCGGGGGAGACCUAACCAGAGCAAGUUUCACAUUUACUUCUGUUCCGGGUGCUGAGGUCAUGUGAUAGUCUUCUCUUCCAGAAAGCAACACUUCCUGCCCAUGGCUAUGUUAUAAACCAAUACAUUUUGCUCUCAAGUGAACUUGGAAAGUCCUAGGUGAUGCCACCCUGAGGGAGACUCAGGUAACUCCUGGUUGGGGCUGUCACAGGACCCUGAUAGAUUCUACCUCUACUGUGGAGAGAUGGAUACUCUGUCCCCAGACUUCAAGAUGUCUACUAGAUGUGCAGGCAGCUUUCCAGCUGAUUAGUAUUUGGGGAGGGAUGUCAGGGAUGUGGGCGGGGGAAACUUCAGUGAAUGUUCUUGAGGGUCACCGUCCUUGGGUGGGUCUUUGAUGUUCUGUGCUGCAAGACAUGAUGGCCUAUAUGUGGAAAGCCAUGUGCAGAGAGGCAGGCCCUGCAGGGUCUGGUUUUGUUUUAUUUGUUUUGCUUGUUUGUUUUUUGUGGCUGUGGGUGUCAGGGCAAGGAGGAAGGAUACAGCCAGAGUGUGAGUUACCUCAGGUGUUUGAUCUCAUGGCAGGGUUGCGCUUCUACCCUCCCCUCAUGGACACCAUUAUGCCUACGGGAAAUUAAUCAAUGGUCUGGAAACCCUGUAAGGUCCUUGAGUGAGGUGAAACUUGAACCUCUGACCCACUGGGAGGGCACCAAAUUCCACUGACUUUUUCUAAGAAGCUUUUCUGUAAGGAUAUUGAUCAUUUGAGUCUUCCUUAAGCUUUGCAAGGGCCAAUACCAAACAUGUUGCUCAGUUUCACGUGUAAACUUGACCAGGUCAUGCUGCAAAAACAUUUCGAGACCACCAUCGGAGACUGAGGCUAACACUAGAAUCUACACAUUGAGUGAAGCAGACGGUCUGCCCCAGUGUGGGUAGGUCGUACCAGGAAUGGAGCAAGUGUGUAGGAAGGGAAGGAUGGGACUGAGGCAGGUACAAGAUAGGCACGAGCCUCUGCUAUUGUGGGUUCCUUGUGACUUUGUCACUAAGACAUGCUGCAGAGAAUACCUGCCAACUCCUUAGGGAGGGUCCCUGACUUCACUCAUCUGCCCUGAGCCUGGCUCUCUCUGGGUGCAGCACAACCUGCAAAAAUCACAAAGAAGGAGUUGAAGGUUGAGCAUCCGAACUGGCUAAUGGAGACUGGCUAGAUGGCUGGCGCUUGCCCGCUGUUGACCACAGCAUAAGCCGAUGCUGAGGAAUGCGGCUGUGCUCUGAAGACUGUCCAGCCUGCUUGUCUCCAUAAGGCUCACUGCAUCUGUACCUCAUGCUCAGGGCAGGGAGGCACAGAGGGCAUAGAGGAGUGAGUGCAUCCAGGUUACUCAGCUAACAAGUGGCUGAUACAAGAUUUGAACCCAGGCAGUAAGUCGAGAAGACCCAUUCUCGUUUGUUUGGGCUUUUUCCCCCCUUUCUACAUCCUCUUCCUCACUUUGGGUUUGCAUAACAUUUAUUCAUUUAAUUGAGGUGAUAUUUACAUGUACAAUGAACUUGUUUUUAAAGCACGGUGCGUUAACUUCCCAGGGUUAGGCAGCUCUGGCUUUAGAGUAUUUCUUUGUCUCCAGUUAAGACCCCUUCCUGUCUUCAUCCUCAGCCCUGGAAACGGCUCACUACUCCCCCGUCCAUGAUUUUCAGGUACUGGAUAUUUCCUGUCAAUGGAAUCCUACCUUAGUCUACAUCAUGGGGUUUCUGUGUCUACCUUCUGUCAGUGGGAAUGUCUCUGAGGUUCCUCCUUGAUGCCACAUGGGCACCAGUAUGCUUCUUUUUUUUUUUUUAAUAUUUAAACUACAAGGGGAGGGAACAGACUAAGAAUAAUCCCCAUCCCUGCCCUGGGGUGUAUCUGUAACGUUCUUGAGAGGCUAGGACAAUGCUGUCCUUUUCAACUCUAUCUCCCGGAAGCCAUGGCACAUCCAAGAAUGCUCCGCGUUCACCUAGAGAAACAGCAACUGUUCUUCUUUUAAGAGAGGAAACUCCACCACAUAUCAGUAUUACAGAAUAUUAACAAACAACAAAAUAAUAACAUUCUUCGCCCUGUUGUCUGACUGUUUGCUCCAGAUUCAAACCUAUCAUCAUGAGAGGAAGGCAGGGAGCUCACAGAACAUAAGGGUGUGAGUUACCUCAGGUGUUUGAUUUCAUGGCAGGGCUGCGCUUCUUCCCUCCCCUCAGGGACAACAUUAUGCCUAUGGGAAAUUAAUCAAUGGUCUGGAAACCCUGUAAGGUCCUUGAGUGAGGUGAAACUUGAGCCAAGUGAACCCUUGAAGUUCUACAAGCCAGAGACAGAUUGCCUGGGGUGUGGUUGGAGUGGAGGGACUCUUAAGUGGAGCUGCCUACAAGUCGCGGAGGAGACUGGUGAUCCAGCUUUCAUGAGUUGUCGCCCGGGCUGGAGAGGGCUUUCCAGUGAAGCAGCUGCCUCUGAGUCACCCAUGCUUCUGUAAGUAACCCCCCAAAACUUACUGGCUCACCAAAUUAGACAUGGAUACAGUCAUUUCUUGAGUCUAUAGUGGGUGUCCUCCAUUGAGUAAUUAAAUGUUUGCUCAUAUCUCCUCAGGAAAAGUUACGCAACAAACCUUCAAGCCAAUAUUCACAUUUGCUCAACCUCCCGGUCAGUGUUUGGUCACAGUUGCUCCUAGCAGGGCUCUACACAGUUAGACAUUUCAGAAUGUAUUGUUGAAUUAAUCAAUUUUGUGUGUGUGUGUGUGUGUGUGUGUGUGUGUGUGUGAGAGAGAGAGAGAGAGAGAGAGAGAGAGAGAGAGAGAGAGAGAGAGAGCGAGCAUAUAUGACAGAGUGUACUUGUAGAAGUCAGAAAACAACUUGGAGUCAUUUCUCUCCUUUCCACUGUGUGGGUCCCAGGGAUCGAACUCAGGUCAUUGAACCUGACAGCCAUCCCUUUGUCACACAUUCAUUUGGAUGGCCCUCCUCAGACUUUCUCUCUCCUUCUUUCACCAAGACUGAUCCAUACGCCGACCCCAGCAGGUGGAGCAGCCUUCUCAAACACACUUAGAUGGCUCUGGUUCUGGCUACAUACCCAGUACCUCAUUGGCACACCGGAAGAGCCACCGAACGCCUUUCCCAGAAGUCCUAGGUGCUCAGGAGGUGGCAGUGUGUGAGGCAGCAGGGGCACAGGUUAGGGGUCCUUACCUGCAGUUGUACUGGUCCAGUUGCUCUCUGUUGGGGUGGUGUCGUUGCCCUGGCCAGCUGUGGCAAGCGACAAGCUAAAACUUGCCAACAGGA